rnacentral:rRNA from 1 species
CGGCGUGCUUAACACAUGCAAGUCGAACGGAAAGGCCCUGCUUUUGUGGGGUGCUCGAGUGGCGAACGGGUGAGUAACACGUGAGUAACCUGCCCUUGACUUUGGGAUAACUUCAGGAAACUGGGGCUAAUACCGGAUAGGAGCUCCUGCUGCAUGGUGGGGGUUGGAAAGUUUCGGCGGUUGGGGAUGGACUCGCGGCUUAUCAGCUUGUUGGUGGGGUAGUGGCUUACCAAGGCUUUGACGGGUAGCCGGCCUGAGAGGGUGACCGGCCACAUUGGGACUGAGAUACGGCCCAGACUCCUACGGGAGGCAGCAGUGGGGAAUAUUGCACAAUGGGCGGAAGCCUGAUGCAGCAACGCCGCGUGCGGGAUGACGGCCUUCGGGUUGUAAACCGCUUUCGCCUGUGACGAAGCGUGAGUGACGGUAAUGGGUAAAGAAGCACCGGCUAACUACGUGCCAGCAGCCGCGGUGAUACGUAGGGUGCGAGCGUUGUCCGGAUUUAUUGGGCGUAAAGGGCUCGUAGGUGGUUGAUCGCGUCGGAAGUGUAAUCUUGGGGCUUAACCCUGAGCGUGCUUUCGAUACGGGUUGACUUGAGGAAGGUAGGGGAGAAUGGAAUUCCUGGUGGAGCGGUGGAAUGCGCAGAUAUCAGGAGGAACACCAGUGGCGAAGGCGGUUCUCUGGGCCUUUCCUGACGCUGAGGAGCGAAAGCGUGGGGAGCGAACAGGCUUAGAUACCCUGGUAGUCCACGCUGUAAACGGUGGGUACUAGGUGUGGGGUCCAUUCCACGGGUUCCGUGCCGUAGCUAACGCUUUAAGUACCCCGCCUGGGGAGUACGGCCGCAAGGCUAAAACUCAAAGGAAUUGACGGGGCCCCGCACAAGCGGCGGAGCAUGCGGAUUAAUUCGAUGCAACGCGUAGAACCUUACCUGGGUUUGACAUGGAUCGGGAGUGCUCAGAGAUGGGUGUGCCUCUUUUGGGGUCGGUUCACAGGUGGUGCAUGGCUGUCGUCAGCUCGUGUCGUGAGAUGUUGGGUUAAGUCCCGCAACGAGCGCAACCCUUGUUCACUGUUGCCAGCACGUUAUGGUGGGGACUCAGUGGAGACCGCCGGGGUCAACUCGGAGGAAGGUGGGGAUGACGUCAAGUCAUCAUGCCCCUUAUGUCCAGGGCUUCACGCAUGCUACAAUGGCUGGUACAGAGAGUGGCGAGCCUGUGAGGGUGAGCGAAUCUCGGAAAGCCGGUCUCAGUUCGGAUUGGGGUCUGCAACUCGACCUCAUGAAGUCGGAGUCGCUAGUAAUCGCAGAUCAGCAACGCUGCGGUGAAUACGUUCCCGGGGCUUGUACACACCGCCCGUCAAGUCAUGAAAGUUGGUAACACCCGAAGCCGGUGGCCUAACCGUUGUGGGGGAGCCGUCGAAGGUGGGACUGGUGAUUAGG